UAAGCCUUUGUUAUGGAGAAGUUCUCGAGAUGUUUCACACACCUUAUUCUUCCCUUCUCCCUGCCAGAGCCCUGAAUGAAUCUUUCGUGGAUCCUCACUAUGAGAACCUGAUACAGAAGACAUCUGUGCAGCAAGCUGAGCCAGAAAGAAGGAAACUGGUAGUUGCUGCAGGAUAACCAAGAAGACUAAUCUUGCAUCUUCCCUGAUACCCAAAUGUAUUUCUGGAAAUGUCUGGCAGGAAUCUGUGCACAAAGAACAAUAGGAUGAAGAGCAAGUGGGGACAAAGAUCCAGACUAAAGAAUAAUCUCCCCUGGGGGACAUAGUAUUCUAGUGGCUGAGCAGAAGCAAAAGAUGCAAAACCUAGCCAUGACUCCUAAAACUUUUGCAAUAAACUUCACCUGUUAAUAUUUC